rnacentral:rRNA from 1 species
GACGAACGCUGGCGGCGUGCUUAACACAUGCAAGUCGAACGGAAAGGCCCUGCUUGCAGGGUACUCGAGUGGCGAACGGGUGAGUAACACGUGGGUGAUCUGCCCUGCACUUCGGGAUAGGCCUGGGAAACUGGGUCUAAUACCGAAUAGGAGCCAUUUUUAGUGUGAUGGUUGGAAAGUUUUUUCGGUGUAGGAUGAGCUCGCGGCCUAUCAGCUUGUUGGUGGGGUAAUGGCCUACCAAGGCGGCGACGGGUAGCCGGCCUGAGAGGGUGGACGGCCACAUUGGGACUGAGAUACGGCCCAGACUCCUACGGGAGGCAGCAGUGGGGAAUAUUGCACAAUGGGCGCAAGCCUGAUGCAGCGACGCCGCGUGGGGGAUGACGGCCUUCGGGUUGUAAACUCCUUUCGCUAGGGACGAAGCUUUUUGUGACGGUACCUAGAUAAGAAGCACCGGCUAACUACGUG